rnacentral:tRNA from 1 species
GCUGGCGUAGCUCAGUUGGUAGAGCAGCUGACUUGUAAUCAGCAGGUCACCAGUUCGACUCUGGUCGCCAGCUCAA